rnacentral:rRNA from 1 species
GGGUUGUGAGGUUAAGUGACUAAGCGUACACGGUGGAUGCCUAGGCAGUCAGAGGCGAUGAAGGGCGUGCUAAUCUGCGAAAAGCGUCGGUAAGGUGAUAUGAACCGUUACAACCGACGAUACCCGAAUGGGGAAACCCAGUGUGUUUCGACACACUAUCGUUAAGUGAAUACAUAGCUUAACGAGGCGAACCGGGGGAACUGAAACAUCUAAGUACCCCGAGGAAAAGAAAUCAACCGAGAUUCCCCCAGUAGCGGCGAGCGAACGGGGAGGAGCCCAGAACCUGAAUCGGCUUGUGUGUCAGUGGAAGCGUCUGGAAAGUCGCACAGUAAAGGGUGAUAGUCCCGUACACGAAGAUGCACAGGUCGUGAGUUCGAUGAGUAGGGCGGGACACGUGUUAUCCUGUCUGAAUAUGGGGGGACCAUCCUCCAAGGCUAAAUACUCCUGACUGACCGAUAGUGAACCAGUACCGUGAGGGAAAGGCGAAAAGAACCCCGGCGAGGGGAGUGAAAUAGAACCUGAAACCGUGUACGUACAAGCAGUGGGAGCCUACUUGUUGGGUGACUGCGUACCUUUUGUAUAAUGGGUCAGCGACUUAUAUUUUGUAGCAAGGUUAACCGAAUAGGGGAGCCGUAGGGAAACCGAGUCUUAACUGGGCGUCUAGUUGCAAGGUAUAGACCCGAAACCCGGUGAUCUAGCCAUGGGCAGGUUGAAGGUUGGGUAAC